CCUGGGCCGCUUCCGCUUUCUCCGCCUCCUACUCUAUCCAUCCACCAGCCCCGGCCUCGAACCCCAUCCUUCGCAGAUCUGCUCACAGAGGUCCCCGCGCGGGAUCGGGCCGUGUCCUGAGGGGGUGGGUCCUAGUCUGUGCGUCCUGGGGACGGCUGGGACUCUUCCUACCGCCCUGCUGCCCUGCCACACCCUAGUGGCUUCUACAGAUUCCGCUUACCAGUUGUCUGUGCUUCCUGGUUCCACGCAACGUAAAUUGCAGUUACAGUUUGGGAGUCAAGAGGACCAACUCUAACCGAUGCAAAUAACUGCUUUGCCCAGCAGCUCCUGGGAAGGGGCACAGCACACCCUUGGUACCACGAUGCCGAGGGUUAAGCCAGCUGUCUUUGACUUGUUAUAGCUGCACCUGAGGGCCUCUCAAGCAAAGCAACCCGUACUUCUUUCCAUGGUACUGGAUUCCAAGAGAGUAAAUACAGAAACUGCAAAACCUCUCUGCCUGAGGCCUGGAAGUCACCCAGUGUCACUUCUGCCACAAUCUAUUUGUCAAAGCAAGUUUCAAGGGCAGCCCUGGUCAAGAGAAGGGGAAAUGGACUCCGCUUCUUGUUGGGGGAAGGAGCGGCCAAGGCAUAUUGCAGAAGGAGGUGCAGGAUAGGGGCCAUUGCAGUGACCAUCUUUGGAAACAGUCCAUCCAUCCAGUGAGAAGUGCUCUGCCAGUCCCCACAUGUACGAGAAAACCCAAGAGACAGGAAGAAGCUGUUAAACAGUUGGCACGGAGGUCUCUGAUAGGGGAACAUGUGGGUCAGUGACAGCGGCUCUGCCCCUCCCUAAGUGGUGGCGCCUGUGUGGUCAUCACUUGAUAAGCCUUGAUGUGGACAUACUAGCCAGGCUGUACACUGUGAUCCUGUCCUGCCCGGCUGCUUGUUUCCAGCUACCUUGGGCCUGCCGAUCUGUCCAUUUCGUGUGUCACUAAAGCUAUUAAUAAACAAGGGGAUUUUAAGCCUUGGAACAUGAUCUUUCCAAAGGUAUAAAAGUCAUUGUGCUGAGACUGCUUGUGUUAGCUCGUGCAUAAAAAUAAGAGCAUUUUCAAAUUUAUCCUAAGAAGUUAUGCAAUUGCUAAAAUAUAUUUUAAGUGUUUUUAUUGAAGUGAAAGUCAUAUAACAUAAAAUUAACCAUCUUAAAGUGUACAAUUCAGUGACAUUUCAGUACCUUCACAGUGUUGUACAGUUAUCACCCCUGCCUGUCUAAUUCCAGAGCACUUUUAUCACUCCAACUCGAAACCCUGUACCUAUUAGCAGUCACUCACCAUUCCCUGCUCCCCCUAGUCUUUGGCAACAACUAAUCUGCUUUCUGUCUGUGUGGAUUUACCUGUUCUGGACAUUUCGUAUAACUGGAAUCAUGCAACACGUUACCGUUUAUGUCUGGCUUUUUUCACUGAGCACCAUGUUUUUGAGAUUCAUCCAAAACGUAGCAUGGAUCAGGACUUCCUUUUUAUUGGAACAUAUGUAAAUUAAUGACAUUUCAAUAAAUUCACAAGGUAGCUUUGAUAAUUGCAUUGAAUUGUUUGUAAUAACUAUGGUGCCUCAUGAUCAUUCCUCAUUAUUCCUGACACCCCCUUUAUUUACAUGUGUCGUCCAGUGACUUACCCAAGCCAUCUACCAAUGAUGGUGGUCUGAAGAAGACCCUUGCCAGCACUGUUGUUAAUUUGAGGACUGAUCUUGGAGAAGACCAGCAUCAAAGAGCAUUGUGAGAGGAGAUGGGUCAACUGCCCUAGAACCAGAAAUGACCGUGGCCUUGACCGUGUAACCAGAGUCACAAUAUUUGGUAACAACCCAACCCAGGAGAAAGUAACAUGAUAACCAGUCAGAAUGUUAACUUCUCUAUUGAGGAAGCACCUUUGCUACUUGUUUUGUUUGCUUGUUUAUUUUCUUAUAAUUGACCUCAGCUGGGAAAUAACCAAGGGCCAGCAGAAAAACACUUCUGUUAACAGAAUUUUGAGCUGUCAGUUCCUACUAGUGUGAGGAAAAACCUCUGCCCUCUGGGUAGAAUACCUGUGCUGUAAAGAGACUGAUGACUGAAAGACCCCUUUACUUCUGAGCAGCCAGGCCUCUGCAGUAUACAUAAGGGUUUAAAACAUUUAUUGACUUAAUACACUUUAUGCAACUUUGCACUACUUAUGUACAGUCCUAGUGAAAGAUGCGCCGGUGGCUUUAAGAUUUUAAGUUUUAAAAUAUAAUCGAAACGACCCGACAGAAAAUGAAGCAAUAUUUACCCUGUGGUAAUUUUCCAAAUUUGAGUGCUGUGAGGGGCAAUUGUGUUUAUACAGAAACAAGAAUGUGUCAGCAAAAAGUGGCCAUGUAUUUCUGGGUUCUCUGUCACGAUGAAUUUGAAUUCCUUUGCAGAUUGUCCAGGUAGAGAUUACUUGCUAAUUAUCUCAAUUUAUUAUUCCCCCAAGGUCUCAAAGGCAGUGGAUUAGGGAAUCUCAGAAAUUAUCGUGAGUUGAGCUUGAAGAACAAUACAGUCAGAGUUGAUGAAUGAAAAUUACUCACUUUGCAAAGUGGACUCGCUUUGCAAGGCUACAUAACUAGUGCUAUUGUUGGAAAUUUAAAAGGAUCAAUUAAUUAUUUCAACUCAAUUGAUUUCAACUCAUGUGUUUACAUUUGCAUAACAUAGAUAUUUUGUGUAAG